GUCAGGAGUCUUAUCAUGGAGUUUGAAUGGCCAUUAAGUGCUGGAGUGCCAAUAUGUGAUUUCCCAUCUGGAAGUUCAGAAUGACCAUGUCAAGCUACAUUACCCUGGUGCAGGGACCAGAUUUGCAGAGA